AUUGAACGCUGGCGGCAGGCCUAACACAUGCAAGUCGAACGUGUGGCGGACGUGUGAGUUAUGUCUGGGAAACUGCCUGAUGUAUGGGGCUAACUACUGGAAACGGUAGCUAAUACCGCAUACCAUCAGAUGUUCCGAUAUGGGAUUAGCUUGUUGGUGGGGUAUCGGCGCACCAAGGCGACGAUCACUAGCUGGUCUGAGGGGAUGACCGGCCAAACUGGAACUGAGGCACUGUCCAGAGGCCUAGGGGAGGCAGCGGGGGGGAAUAUGGCACAAUGGGCGAAAGCCUGAUAGAGCCAUGCCGCGUGUAUGAAGGAGGCCUGAGGGUUGUAAAGUACUUUCCUCGGGGAGGCGUUACCCGCAGAAGAAGCACCGGCUAACUCCGUGCCAGCAGCCGCGGUAAUAC
rnacentral:rRNA from 1 species